rnacentral:rRNA from 1 species
CCUACGGGAGGCAGCAGUGGGGAAUAUUGGACAAUGGGGGGAACCCUGAUCCAGCCAUGCCGCGUGUGUGAAGAAGGCCCUCGGGUUGUAAGGCACUUUCAGUGAGGAAGAACGCCUGGUGGUUAAUACCCAUCAGGAAAGACAUCACUCACAGAAGAAGCACCGGCUAACUCCGUGCCAGCAGCCGCGGUAAUACGGAGGGUGCGAGCGUUAAUCGGAAUUACUGGGCGUAAAGCGCGCGUAGGUGGCUUGAUAAGCCGGUUGUGAAAGCCCCGGGCUCAACCUGGGAACGGCAUCCGGAACUGUCAAGCUAGAGUGCAGGAGAGGAAGGUAGAAUCCCCGGUGUAGCGGUGAAAUGCGUAGAGAUCGGGAGGAAUACCAGUGGCGAAGGCGGCCUUCUGGACUGACACUGACACUGAGGUGCGAAAGCGUGGGUAGCAAACAGGAUUAGAUACCCUGGUAGUC